rnacentral:rRNA from 1 species
UACGGAGGGGGCUAGCGUUGUUCGGAAUUACUGGGCGUAAAGCGCACGUAGGCGGCUGUUCAAGUCAGAGGUGAAAGCCCGGAGCUCAACUCCGGAAUUGCCUUUGAAACUAGACAGCUUGAUCGUCGGAGAGGUGAGUGGAAUUCCGAGUGUAGAGGUGAAAUUCGUAGAUAUUCGGAAGAACACCAGUGGCGAAGGCGGCUCACUGGACGACUGAUGACGCUGAGGUGCGAAAGCGUGGGGAGCAAACAGG